GGUGUAGUGGUGCCUCCUCUUGUCCUGAUAGGGCUGUGAGCAGGGCAUGGGCGCAUGCACUGCUGUGUUUGCUGCUGUUACACGAGGGCUGUCAGCACUGUGAUGGGAAUGCUGGGGAGGCAGCAGAGAAGCUGAAGAGGUGAAGCAAUUUAGGACACAACCCAAAGGUUAUCCAAGCCAUCAGGAAGCUUCGUGUUGGUUCCUGCAGCCUUCGGCAAAGGCGUCCCCUCACUGCAACCACAUCUGAGCCACUGCAACAGGCAUUUCUUAAUAGCGCUGGGAAGAGAAACAGAAGAAAAUUUCUUUGAAGUUUUACCUGGGCCUGAAGAGGCAGGAGGAGAGGAAAUACAGGCAAACGGAGGAGAGCCAUUUGCCACCAUCCAAACAGGUUACCAGUUUCAGCCUUUCUUCUGUUUCUUCUUAAUGUGAUGAAACCUGAGUCUGAAUGGAGGAAGUUCAUUCGUAAUGUGGCCAGCCCUGCGGUGUUGAGCUGAGAAAGUCUGCGGUUAUCAUUUCCUCCUCUGGGGCAUUUGUGGAUGACCAUUGCUGCCCUGGGAGCACCCGCCUGCUUGGCAGCCCCGGCCCAGUCUGCAGCCAUGCAGCAUGGCGUAUCCCACCCACAGUGAGGCUUUGUACCAGCACCAGCUGGC